CAACAAUCUUUUGAAUUGGGUAUCAGAUUCACCCCAUUUUGGAGAUCUGGAAACUGAGGCUCAAGGAAGUUAAAUAACUUGGCAGAGGUCACAAAUCUUGGGGAUGUCAGCGACAUGUCUUGCAGAUUUUGCAACAUGAUCAAAAGAACCCGCCUCUGUGCCAUUAAGUGGCACUGAGUCUCUAUAGUGUUAUUUUUUUCAGGAUUUUAAAACAGCGUCUUGCCUCUCUCUGUAUUUCCAUGAUCCCUAGAUGCUCUCUUUGCAUUGGACUCUUUUUCCUAAUAAUCAUGGUUUUCUGUAGUUUUCUUCUAGGACUAUCAAGGACUAUGUGGAUCUGACAGGCACUUCUGCUCAGCUCUCCUCUAGAGACUCCUAGAACAUCAUCGUUUCCUGAUUUCUUUGCUGGCUGCUUUUAUAACCAAACUCCAAACAUCAAAAUUAUCAUCUUAGUCCUGGGUGUUCUGUCCUAAUGUGUUAACUGCAAAAAUGACCUCAAUUCUUAGGAACUUCUGCCAUCAGUAGCUGGAGUCUAUUGGGUUUCAAGUCUGGGCCUCAAGAGGCAUUGCAAACUUUCAUCCUCUCUUUUGAGAUUUCAGCACCAUCACCAAAUGAACAAGUCCCAGGUAGCCUGCUGGAGGAUGUACAACCAUGUGGAACGCCGAUGAGCCAUCACAGCUGAGUUGUUUUGGACCUGCUAGCUCUAAACCAAUGUCGCAGCUGUCUGUAGAAGCACGAAUGAGAUAUGGCCAAGCUCCAUUGAGCCUGGCCCAGAUAAGCAGAACUGUUUCACGGAGCCCAGGACAAAUUGCCAAACCCCAGUAUUGUGUAUUCAAUAAUUUCUAGUUGUUCUAAGCCACUAAGUUUCAGGGUGACUUGUUAAGUGGUUAUAACUACCUAAUAAGUACAUUUUGUAUUUCCUUUUUAUUAUCAUCUACCAUAGCCUGUUAUUAUUUUCUUUGUUUGUUUAUUUAUUUAUUAGCUGUUUCUCUGCAAAUGUAGGACAAUUGCAUUGUCUUGUCCUCUGAUGUAUUCAAAACAGUUGGUGACUGGCACGUCAAAGACACUUAUUGAAAAGUUACUGAAUAAAUGAACACAUGAUUGGAUGAAUAAAUGUUUAUAGGUAAAACUUCCAAAAGUAUAUUGAUAAAAAUGAAUAUUUCUAUCAGUUAUAUUAAUAACUUAUUUGCUGUCUAGAAUGACUCAGGAAAUUUAAUGUAUAUUAUUAAAGCACAAUUUCUAUUUUUUGUUUUAGGUUGUUUUUCUGCCAUUGCUAUCUACUUUGAUUAUUUUGCUAU
rnacentral:lncRNA from 1 species